rnacentral:tRNA from 1 species
UAAGUUGUAGCUAAAGUUUAUAAAGCACUUCAUUUACACUGAAGAGAUCAUUAAUUGUGCGGCUUAA